UACGGAGGGUGCAAGCGUUAAUCGGAAUUACUGGGCGUAAAGCGCGCGUAGGUGGUUUGGUAAGCCGGGUGUGAAAGCCCCGGGCUCAACCUGGGAAUUGCAUUCGAUACUGCCAGACUAGAGUAUGGUAGAGGGAAGUGGAAUUCCGCAUGUAGCGGUGAAAUGCAUAGAGAUGCGGAGGAACACCAGUGGCGAAGGCGACUCCCUGGACCAAUACUGACACUGAGGUGCGAAAGCGUAGGUAGCGAACAGG
rnacentral:misc_RNA from 1 species